rnacentral:rRNA from 1 species
CCUACGGGUGGCAGCAGUGAGGAAUAUUGGUCAAUGGGCGCGAGCCUGAACCAGCCAAGUCGCGUGAGGGAGGACGGCCCUACGGGUUGUAAACCUCUUUUGCCGGGGAGCAACGGGCGCCACGUGUGGCGUCACUGAGAGUACCCGGAGAAAAAGCAUCGGCUAACUCCGUGCCAGCAGCCGCGGUAAUACGGAGGAUGCGAGCGUUAUCCGGAUUCAUUGGGUUUAAAGGGUGCGCAGGCGGGCCUUUAAGCCGGCGGUGAAAUCGCGGGGCUCAACCCCGCCGAGCCGUCGGAACUGGGGGCCUUGAGUGCGGCGGAGGCAUGCGGAAUGCGCGGUGUAGCGGUGAAAUGCAUAGAUAUCGCGCAGAACCCCGAUUGCGAAGGCAGCGUGCCGUGCCGCCACUGACGCUGAGGCACGAAAGCGCGGGGAUCGAACAGGAUUAGAUACCCUAGUAGUC